rnacentral:rRNA from 1 species
GUAGGUGGCAAGCGUUGUCCGGAUUUACUGGGUGUAAAGGGCGUGUAGGCGGGUCAGCAAGUCAGAUGUGAAAUCCCGGGGCUUAACUCCGGAACUGCAACUGAAACUGUAGAUCUUGAGUACUGGAGAGGAAAGUGGAAUUCCUAGUGUAGCGGUGAAAUGCAUAGAGAUUAGGAGGAACACCAGUGGCGAAGGCGGCUUUCUGGACAGUAACUGACGCUGAGGCGCGAAAGCGUGGGGAGCAA